ensembl:lncRNA
GACAGAAGUGACCUUCGACGGCGGGGCUGGUGCCUCCGGGGCGCUCUGGAAGCAGCAGGCCGGGGGCUCGGGUCCGUCGUGGGACCGCGACUUCUUCUUCAGCACCACGAAUUUGACGCCGUCGAGCUCCUUCACCACGGCCACGUUGUUGACGAACUGCUUGAAGCGGUCCCUGCGGGCUGCGCGGCCGCGUGGGUCGCCGGCCUCCAGGAGCGGUUUGAAGCGGCUCAGCAGCUCAGAGUUGCGCACCUUCCCGCCGUUCUCCUGCAGGAAACCCAGCACCGCCGCCUGGCUCACUCCGGCGGCCGCAGCAGCCGCGGCCGCGGCCAGUGCCAUGGUCACUUACCGCCCCGCAAGGGGGGAGCCAGGCCGCCCGCUCCCACCAACUCUGCGGCUCCCGGUUGCUGGGCAAGGUGGACGUCGCGGCGCCGCCGGAGGAGGGAGCCGGGGUUCCGGGAGUCAGGUCCGCCUCGGCCAGGCUCACCUGAUCUUUUUCACCGAGGCGUGACGGGCGUGUCCCAGAAGCUGGACCUCGGUCAUGCCAGCGCAGCGGGGCCCGGCAGUCUCCUGGAGAAAGGAGCCGGGGGCCGCGGCGCGCGACCCCCGCCGCUGCCCCGCGGGGUCCCCAGUCUUCGGGGUUCAAGAUGCCUUUGUCUAUGGUUAUAACAUGGUUUGCUUGACCUUCAGGAAAUUUCUCACCCCAAGGAGCAGAGGAUGGUAAAGUGGGAUUUUAUAAAAACCUAGAGCCCAAUGCUGGGAGUACAUCCUCUGAAAAGCCACUGGUAAAAUCUGUAGUGCUGGGUCCUCAGCCCCCAAGGGUAGAGGUUGUCCUCAGGUAAGGGGGACUGACUUUCAAUUGUGGGAAAGAUAUGGAGGGCUUUAAUCAUUGCCUACCAGACACCUGGCUUAAGUUGGGAGGAGUCUAUAUUCUAAAAAGAGUAAGGAAGGUUAGGUGGUUUGGGCUGAGGGUACGGGUUGUCUUGGAGGGGGCUGGGCAGUUUUAGGUAGCCUUGGAGGAGGAGGAGGAGGGACUGGACUACAGUGCAAACUUGGGGCCCCUUGUUAAAAAAUUAUUAUGAAUUUCAAGAUGGUGACACCAAGUGCAGGGGCUGCCCGUGAAGCCGGCCCCUGUGGAGACUCAGGGUUCAAAGUCUACUUUGGAUGUAAGAAACUGGCCAGGAUUCUGGCAGAGACUGGACGCUGAGGUGGAAUUUCUUGCCUAUGGCUCUCCUGGGUGUCCAAGGUCCAUGAUCCACAGGCAGAAGUCCUUUCUCCAUGGGGGAGACCAGGCUCUAGACCCCUGGGGGGUCUCCCAGUCACUUUUUAGAUGCUAAAUUGCCACAGGUGUUACUGAGGUCUUGUGUUCAGCUAGGGUCUGGCAAAAACACCCUUAUGCCUCCCUCUCUACCCAGCCCCUGCCUUCUGGGAUAUUAAACAGAGUACCCACCCCCGACUCCCCAUUCAUCUUCCUGACUCCUGAGUCACUGGUCAGCCUCCCUUCCUUUAGGAAGGCCUCCAGGCUCCCCCUGCACCCCUGAAGUCAUAUCUUCUGUACAUUCUUCAGGCUGCAUCUCCAGGUUGUGACCCCCAGGUUGCUCAAGACACCCUGUUUUAUGGUCUAGCUGCCUGUGUCUCUUCUUCAAGGCAUUAGGGCACUCUGACAUUG